rnacentral:rRNA from 1 species
UUAACAACGGAUCUCUUGGCUCUCGCAUCGAUGAAGAACGCAGCGAAAUGCGAUAAGUAAUGUGAAUUGCAGAAUUCAGUGAAUCAUCGAAUCUUUGAACGCACCUUGCGCCCUUUGGUAUUCCGAAGGGCAUGCCUGU